CCUACGGGGGGCAGCAGUGGGGAAUAUUGCACAAUGGGGGAAACCCUGAUGUAGCGACGCCGCGUGAGUGAAGAAGUAUUUCGGUACGUAAAGCUCUAUCAGCAGGGAAGAAAAUGACGGUACCUGACUAAGAAGCCCCGGCUAACUACGUGCCAGCAGCCGCGGUAAUACGUAGGGGGCAAGCGUUAUCCGGAUUUACUGGGUUUAAAGGGAGCGUAGACGGCAGCGCAGGUCUGGAGUGAAAUCCCAUGGCUUAACCAUGGAACUGCUUUGGAAACUGGGCAGCUAGAGUGCAGGAGAGGUAGGCGGAAUUCGUGGUGUAGCGGUGAAAUGCGUAGAUAUUAGGAGGAACACCGGUGGCGAAGGCGGCUUACUGGACUGUAACUGACGUUGAGGCUCGAAAGCGUGGGGAGCAAACAGGAUUAGAUACCCUAGUAGUC
rnacentral:rRNA from 1 species